rnacentral:rRNA from 1 species
GAUGAACGCUGGCGGCGUGCCUAAUACAUGCAAGUCGAGCGAACAGACGAGGAUCUUGCUCCUCGGACGUUAGCGGCGGACGGGUGAGUAACACGUGUAUAACCUACCUAUAAGACGGGUAAAACUUCGGGAAACCGGAGCUAAUACCGUAUAAUAUAUUGAACCGCAUGGUUCAAUAGUGAAAGACGGCUUUGCUGUCACUUAUAGAUGGAUCCGCGCCGCAUUAGAUAGUUGGUAAGUUAACGGGUUACCAAGGCAACGAUGCGUAGCCGAACUGAGAGGGUGAUAGGCCGCACUGGAACUGAGACACGGUCCAUACUACUAAGGGAGGCACCAGUCGGCUAUCUUACGCAAUGGGCGAGAGUUUGACGGAGCAACGCCGCGUGAGAGAUGGCGAUCUUGGGAUCGUAAAACUCUGUUAUUAGGGAAAAACAAAUGUGUACGUAACUAUGCACGUCUUGACGGUAACUAAUAAGAAAGCCACGGCUAUCUACGUG